AAUGAAGUGCCUGAUUAAAGGGCUAUCUUGAUAGGAUAGAUCAAGCAGGUAACCCUGCCUUCAUUA
rnacentral:tRNA from 1 species